UCCGUUGUGGUCUAGUGGUUUGGAUUUGCGGUUUUCACCCGCAACGCCCGGGUUCGAUUCCCGGCAACGGAA
rfam:Ascaris lumbricoides genome assembly, scaffold: ALTE_scaffold0003088